rnacentral:tRNA from 1 species
GCGGGUGUGGUGGAAUUGGUAGACACGCUGGAUUUAGGUUCCAGUGGCUCGCGCCGUGGGGGUUCAAGUCCCUCCACCCGCACCA